rnacentral:rRNA from 1 species
CCGGAUUAAUACCGCAUACGCCCGUUAGGGGAAAGCGGGGGAUCUUCGGACCUCGCGCUAUUGGAGCGGCCGAUGUCGGAUUAGCUAGUAGGUGAGGUAAAGGCUCACCUAGGCGACGAUCCGUAGCUGGUCUGAGAGGAUGAUCAGCCACACUGGGACUGAGACACGGCCCAGACUCCUACGGGAGGCAGCAGUGGGGAAUUUUGGACAAUGGGCGCAAGCCUGAUCCAGCCAUGCCGCGUGAGUGAAGAAGGUUUUCGGAUCGUAAAGCUCUGUCUUUGGGGACGAAUAAAAUGACGGUACCCAAGGAGGAAGCCCCGGCUAACUACGUG